AUUGAACGCUGGCGGCAUGCCUUACACAUGCAAGUCGAACGGUAACAGGUCUUCGGAUGCUGACGAGUGGCGAACGGGUGAGUAAUACAUCGGAACGUGCCUAGUAGUGGGGGAUAACUACUCGAAAGAGUGGCUAAUACCGCAUGAGAUCUACGGAUGAAAGCAGGGGAUCGCAAGACCUUGUGCUACUAGAGCGGCCGAUGGCAGAAUAGGUAGUUGGUGGGAUAAAAGCUUACCAAGCCGACGAUCUGUAGCUGGUCUGAGAGGACGAUCAGCCACACUGGGACUGAGACACGGCCCAGACUCCUACGGGAGGCAGCAGUGGGGAAUGUUGGACAAUGGGCGCAAGCCUGAUCCAGCAAUGCCGCGUGCAGGAUGAAGGCCUUCGGGUUGUAAACUGCUUUUGUACGGAACGAAAAGCCCCGGGUUAAUACCCUGGGGUCAUGACGGUACCGUAAGAAUAAGCACCGGCUAACUACGUGCCAGCAGCCGCAGUAA
rnacentral:rRNA from 1 species